CUUGGCCAUGAGAACCUGGUCCGUUGGAUUGACAGCACCCUCAUCGAUCCAACGCUUCUGGAUCUUCAUCAUGCUGUACACACUUGACAUCAACACAACAAAUACCGUUCCUGCCACCGUCUUUACCAUGAUUGGGCCAUAACCUCGCUUGACCCGAUCCAGAGCCAUCAACACUAACUUCCUUAAUGGGGUCUUGAACAUAAGCACCGUUAUCAAUGCCAUCUCAGAGAAUAUCAGUGUAAACAAUAGCUGAAUCAUUUCUUUUUCCCUUUUCGAACUACGUAGGAGAGAGAUACAGAGUUAAGAUUUCGAAGAGAAAGNNNNNNNACGUGAGCUUCUAUGAGGUUAUAGUAAUAAGAGUGGCGAGCACUCGCCGAGAAGAGAAAAUAGAACAGAUCAAAGAA
rnacentral:misc_RNA from 1 species